rnacentral:tRNA from 1 species
GGGGGAAUGGUCCAACGGUUUACGACGUCGGUCUCCAAAACCGAAGAUCGAGGUUCGAUUCCUCGUUCCCCCG